CCACAAUCCUGACUGAGUUCAUUCAACCUGCAGGAAACUGCAUGUCUAAUCCAUUAAGCAGCACAAAGAGAGAGGAAGACCUGACUGUUCUCACAGGGCAAUCGGAGAGGGACCUCUCCCCAUCUUAACUUACACACACACACACACACACACACACACACACACACACUGUGACAGAUUCACAUACAUGCCAUCGAUCACCUCAGUGGAGUUGAAAUUUGAAGCAGGAUGCAAAAAUAGUUUCUCCUCAGACAGUUCACAUACACACACUCAUACACUAUUAUUCAUACAGUAGAAUACACAACCCUGGGAGUAUUAUUUACACACUGUACACAUAACAGACCACGGUCGGUCUUUUUGACAGAGACACAGAGAGAGCGUGUCAAAAGUCCUUUAUCUUUUCAGUCAAAACAAUGUUCAUGUUUGAGGCCCAGCCUGGACGAGUCGAGCCACCAGAAUGGACCAGCCGUCUGGUCGCUCCUCACUUCUCCCAUCACCUCCACUUUUUAUCCUUCCCCUCGUCUCCUUCUGCUCUCCUUCUCCUCACACUUUGGUGGCAAGCGAAUGCAGCUCGGACUUCUGGGUCUGCGCGCUGAGGGUGGAUGAGGCAGAGCUGACGUGACCGUGCACAACCUUCUUCAGGCUGAGCAGGCAGAGGCAGCGCGAGCGGAAACGCAGGUCGAAGAAGGCAUAGAGGAACGGGUUGAGGCAGCUGUUGAUGUACGCCAGGCAGGUGGCAUACGGGUGCGCCAGCAGCAGGAAGUGCAGGAAACCACAGGACGUCGGAGCCAGCCCCAGGUAUGACAGCGCGUCCAUGCUCUUCAGCACAUGGAAAGGCGUCCAGCAGAGGGCGAACACCACCACCAGAGUGGUGAUGAUCUUCAGGAGGCGCCGCUUCUUCUGGUCCUCUUUGCGCAGGUGGCCAAAGUGGCGCGCCACCGUGCAGCCAAUCAAGCAGUAGCACACAGUCAUGGCCAUAAAGGGGAGCAAGAAGCCAAGAGCUGAGGAUGACAAGCUCAAACCGGCGAUCCAAAGUGACUCGUGGCGCUGAUUCAGGGUCACCAGGCUGAAGUCCAUGGCACAGGUAGUGCGGUUGCUGAUCGAAUCAUCCACCGUGGUACGGAAGAGCAGAGUAGGCGCAGCGAGAGUCCCGGAAAGCAGCCAAAUGGCGCCGAGCGAUACCAUCACGGUGCCUCGGAUCGAAGACGGUUGCUGCUUAGUGAGUGCACGAUGGCCAGGUAGCGAUCAAAGCUCAAGCAGGUGAGGCAAAAGACACUGGCAUACAUGUUCACCAGCACCACGUAGCUGCUGAUCUUGCAAAGCGCCACGCCGAAAGGCCAGUGGUACCCGAGUGCCGUGUAUGCAGCCCACAGUGGCAGGGUCACCACAAAGGUCAGGUCGGCCAAAGCCAGGUUGCCGAUGUAGACGUCUGCAGCACGGCGCUUGGACUUGGCCGAACGCCACAUGGUGAAGAUGACCAUCCCGUUCCCGGACAGACCAAGGAUGAAGAUGAGCAUGUAGAGGACAGGGAUGAGCGAGUAGGACGGCUCCCACUCGGAGUAGUCGCACGCCGUCUCGUUGUCUUCAUAAUAAUCGUAGCUGUCAGGGUAUUCCGUGGGUUCCAUUAGUUAAAGGUGAAGGGGUCCGGGUUCUACAAAGUUGUUAAAAAAAAGUCCUGUUUGAAGAAGUCUUCCUUUAGCGUUAGUCCAGGUGUGCUUUUAAAGCUGCAGAACCAGAAGUUGCUGGACUGCAAAAGGGCAACUUGUUGGCUUUCCUCAGUGAACAGAAGUCUCUCUGUGAAGUUCUGCACCAUACACACAUGGGCAGAAGGAGAGAGAGC
ensembl:lncRNA